AGUGAACGCUGGCGGUAGGCCUAACACAUGCAAGUCGAACGGCAGCACAGUAAGAGCUUGCUCUUACGGGUGGCGAGUGGCGGACGGGUGAGGAAUACAUCGGAAUCUACUUUUUCGGGGGGGAUAACGUAGGGAAACUUACGCUACUACAGCAUACGAUCUACGGGGGAAAGCAGGGGAUCUUCGGGCCUUGCGCGAUUGAAUGAGCCGAUGUCGGGUUAGCUAGUGGGCGGGGUAAAGGCCCACCAAGGCGACGAUCCGUAGCUGGUCGGAGAGGAUGGUCAGCCACACUGGAACUUAGACACGGUCCAGACUCCUAAGGGAGGCAGCAGUGGGGAAUAUUGGGCAAUGGGCGCAAGCCUGAUCCAGCCAGACCGCGUGGGUGAAGAAGGCCUUCGGGUUGUAAAGCCCUUUUGUUGGGAAAGAAAAGCAGCAGGUUAAUACCCCGCUGUUCUGACGGUACCCAAAGAAUAAGCACCGGCUAACUUCGUG
rnacentral:rRNA from 1 species